rnacentral:rRNA from 1 species
UACGUAGGGGGCGAGCGUUGUCCGGAUUUACUGGGCGUAAAGCGCGCGCAGGCGGUCUGUUAAGUUUGGGGUGACAGUUGGUGGCUCAACCACCAAAGUGCUUUGAAAACUGAUAGACUUGAGGGCUUCAGAGGGACACGGAAUUCCGCGUGUAGCAGUGAAAUGCGUAGAGAUGCGGAGGAACACCGAUGGCGAAGGCAGCCCCCUGGGCUAACACUGACGCUCAGGCACGAAAGCGUGGGGAGCAAACAGG